rnacentral:rRNA from 1 species
GACGAACGCUGGCGGCGUGCUUAACACAUGCAAGUCGAACGGUGAAGCGCUUGCCUUUUUGGUGGGUGUGGAUGAGUGGCGAACGGGUGAGUAACACGUGAGUAACCUGCCCUCUUCUUCUGGAUAACCUCAUGAAAGUGGGGCUAAUACGGGGUAUUCCGGGUCUGUCGCAUGGCGGGUUUGGGAAAGAUUGCGCCUUUGGGUGUUUUCGGUGGGGGAUGGGCUCGCGGCCUAUCAGCUUGUUGGUGGGGUGAUGGCCUACCAAGGCGGUGACGGGUAGCCGGCCUGAGAGGGUGGACGGCCACACUGGGACUGAGACACGGCCCAGACUCCUGCGGGAGGCAGCAGUGGGGAAUAUUGCACAAUGGGCGCAAGCCUGAUGCAGCGACGCCGCGUGAGGGAUGGAGGCCGUCGGGUUGUGAACCUCUUUCGCCAGUGAAGCAGGCCUGCUCCUGUGUGGGUGGGUUGACGGUAGCUGGAGAAGAAGCGCCGGCUAACUACGUG